AAAAUGUUAUACCGAUUCUCAAGUAUAUAUUUUCAUAUUGCAGGUCUUGUUGCAGGUCUAGAAAUGUUUUGCAAUAAAAAUUUGAUUUCAAAAAAAUGAAAGGGAACAAAAACUUUUGCUUAUAAUUUUACUCGGAGAAUGGCUGGAUUCAUUUGAGCGUGUACAGUUUUGUUUAUAAUUAGUGAAGAGAUGAAAAUAAUGGAACAGUAUGGUGCAGAAAGUGUUUUUUUCGUUGCAGUUUCUGCUGCUGGGAAAGCGGUAGAUCACUAUGGCUUCUGUACCGUGAAAUGAAGCUUAUGAUAAAUAAAAUACUGCUGCUUGCUGGUCACUGAUUGAAGAUCGUUCAGUGGCUACCAUUGGCCAAUCUCACCAAUGGGAUAUAAUAAGAACUGAUGCAGGUUUAUAUCUAUGUGUAUUGUCUAUUCGGAACAAAGUUAGUACGCCUUUUAAACCGAUGUUGGAUUUUUCUCCAGAUACAGGCAACCCACUUAACUUUGGAAGUAGUGCGCUGGAUUCGUCUAAAGAUAUGCUAAACAACCGGAGGAAAAUAAAAUAAUUUGUAAAACAA